AGAAAGCUAGAGAUGUACCCGAGGCAACCGCCAUGGAUUACAUUGGAGGAUAUGCGGUUGCUCUUGAUAUGACUGCUAGGGAGCUCCAAGCUUCUGCCAAGGCAUCUGGUCUCCCUUGGACACUUGCUAAAGGACAGGAUACUUUCACUCCAAUAAGCUCUGUUGUAAGUAUUCUCUUCUGAAACACUAGAUGCUACUAUAUCAGAAAAA